UAUUCCCCACUGCUGCCUCCCGUAGGAGUCUGGGCCGUAUCUCAGUCCCAAUGUGGCCGUUCAACCUCUCAGUCCGGCUACUGAUCGCAGUCUUGGUAGGCCGUUACCCUGCCAACUAACUAAUCAGAUAUGAGCCCAUCUUUCAGCGGAUUGCUCCUUUGGUAUCCAAGUGAUGCCACCCAAAUACAUUAUGCGGUAUUAGCAGUCGUUUCCAACUGUUGUCCCCCUCUGAAAGGCAGGUUGCUCAUACAUUACUCACCCGUCCGCCACUAAGUUACAAAAGCAAGCUCUCGUAACUCCGUUCGACUUGCAUGUGUUAGGCACGCCGCCAGCGUUCAUCCUGAGCCAA
rnacentral:rRNA from 1 species